GACCACUAUAAUUCAGCCUUUGUCCCGGUUUCCUUCGCAUUAGCAAUCAAGAAGGGGAUAACUCGCAUUUGAUUGGCUAAUAUUCUUUGAAGGAAGGAUAGAUAAUAAGCUGACAAUGAAACGAACGGUUAGUGAAGUGGAAAAAGUGAGUGAACAAAAUACUGAAGCUUCAACUUCAAAAUCAUCCUAACCACCUCCGAAGAAGAGACGGGGCCCGACACGAUGCAAGAAUGUCGUAAACGCGACAACCUUAUUACCAUUAAGGGUUAAUAAGUAUGGAUUGCCGAUCGGCCUUGGAAGUGGUACAUAUACUAAUUAUUUGGGAACACUUGCCCGAAAUGGUAAAUUAGCUCCUUUGUGCUACAAAACUUGGUGGGAGAUGCCUAAAUGGCUUAAAGAGGAUAUGUGGAACAUUAUAAAGGGAAAGUAUGAUGUGGGAAUCAUGUCAAAAUAGUGGACAUUAUCCUUCAUCGGGAAAAAAAUGGAGGGGGUACAAGUGUAAAUUAAAAAAUAGUUAGGGAUACCGAUGCAGAAAGAUUGGCAAACCUACCACCUAAUGUUGAAAAGGAGCAAUGGGAAUUUUUGGUUAGGCAUUGGGGUACGCCUAUGG